rnacentral:rRNA from 1 species
UACAGAGGUCCCAAGCGUUGUUCGGAUUCAUUGGGCGUAAAGGGUGUGUAGGUGGCGCCGUAAGUCGGGUGUGAAAUCUCGGGGCUUAACUCCGAAACUGCAUUCGAUACUGCGGUGCUUGAGGACUGGAGAGGAGACUGGAAUUCACGGUGUAGCAGUGAAAUGCGUAGAGAUCGUGAGGAAGACCAGUGGCGAAGGCGGGUCUCUGGACAGUUCCUGACACUGAGGCACGAAGGCCAGGGGAGCAAACGGG